UGCUGAUCGUGAUGGUGACUUGUGUGUCCACUGGAAACGGAGCCAAAGAAAACUGGGCAGAUGAGGUUUUCCAGUGGAGUGAAAGGGAGCUUGACAGAUGGAAGCCAGCUGACCACAGCCACCAACCAGCCUGUGGUCACCUCAAGCUGCACUCCCAGCUUCUCCCAUCCCUCCCCACAGGGCUGGGUGCCUCCCUCCUGCAUGAAGAGUAGCUCUUGCUUCACCUUUGACCCAUCCAGUAGCCAUCAUGAUGAACCACCCGUGGUGGUAGUGGUGGUGAGCAUGGUGGACCCCAGCGGCGAUUUUGCGAACUCUGACCACCUCCUUCAUGGCCACAAAGAUGAGCUUCAUGGGCAGAAAGCUAACACACUUGUAGAAGAGGUUCAUGGGACAGAAGAAUAUCAAAUACCUGGAAUAAAACCACGAAGAGUUUAGGGACCCAUUUGUUUGGCCUGAUCCAGGAUGUACUGAGGAGUAUGGUGGUGUUAGCCCGAGCUACAGCUGGGAGACAGAGAUGCUGGUUCUGUCAUGCAAAAGCACCUACAACCUGAGGAAAUUAAACUAGGAGUAACUGAGGUUUAUUUGUGCACAUUUCACCAACAUGAGGAAUAAAAUGCUCCCAAAUCUCUGGUGUGAGCCCCUCCCCUGCUGUGUGUGGUGGCAGGGCAGGGCAAGCUGCUCCUGCGGGUUGGCCACAGUCCAGCUGUGGCAGCUAUGAAUAGAAAUGCCAACCAUUGGACUGGACCCAACCUUUAUAAUCAAAACACCAGACAAACUGCUCUAGGAAACUGGGAAUUGGGAACACAAAAGACUCAAAGACUCGCUCACCCCACCUCUUCCUCCCCCAGUUAAUCCAAGCAAGACAAGACGCGUGUGUCACACCAACACCUCCCUUCUGCUUCCUAACUGGGGUGAAGGACCAGACUCACCAGACUGCUGUGGCCAGGAUGACACUGGAGUUGUUACUGAAGUAAUCAAUAGGUGAUUCUCCAAGUAACAGAUCAGCAAGUAUGUAACUUCCAAAGCAGUGGAGCAUGGCACAAAGCCAGGAGGCAAAAGGGCUCUUCCGAGACAUCUCCACGGCUCCUGUGAAGCAAAUUCUAGAUAAGACAAGGGAAAUAAGCAGAAACUUCAAGACCCCCUAAGAGAAAGGGGCUUGUGGUGCAUGUUCUUCAAUAAAGUAAGUUAAAGAAACGUGCUUGUAAAACAAAACACAAACCAUGAACAAGUACCAGCUACUGCCAAGAAACAGUAUGUGCCCCCCGGAAGGUUUCAGAUUAACUGAGUCAUUAGAAGUUUAUUAAUUGGCUAAGAGUUUAUAUCCUGUAUUUGCUGCUACUUACUGCAACCACAAAGAACAUUUUUUUCCCUUGAAAUCAAUGUCUUUUCAGUCUAAAAAUAAAAUGCAUACUAGUACCAUUCA